GACGUAGGGCGCGAGCGUUGUCCGGAUUUAUGGGGCGUAAAGAGCGUGUAGGCGGCUAGAUAGGUCCGUUGUGAAAACUCGAGGCUCAACCUCGAGACGUCGAUGGAAACCAUCUGGCUAGAGUCCGGAAGAGGAGAGUGGAAUUCCUGGUGUAGCGGUGAAAUGCGCAGAUAUCAGGAAGAACACCCGUGGCGAAGGCGGCUCUCUGGUACGUGACUGACGCUGAGACGCGAAAGCGUGGGGAGCAAACAGG
rnacentral:rRNA from 1 species